rnacentral:rRNA from 1 species
CAGUCGCCACGGUAAUACGUAGGGUGCAAGCGUUAAUCGGAAUUACUGGGCGUAAAGCGUGCGCAGGCGGUUCGUUAAGACAGAUGUGAAAUCCCCGGGCUUAACCUGGGAACUGCAUUUGUGACUGGCGGGCUAGGGUAUGGCAAAGGGGGGUAGAAUUCCACGUGUAGCAGUGAAAUGCGUAGAGAUGUGGAGGAAUACCGAUGGCGAAGGCAGCCCCCUGGGCCAAUACUGACGCUCAUGCACGAAAGCGUGGGGAGCGAACAGGAUUAGAUACCCGCGUAGUCCCUGUCUCUUAUAC